UGGUGGUUUCAUGUGUAAGUUCACUUGUUUCUAAAUUGGCAUGACUGACUUUAUGAGAAGUUAUUUCCUUUUAAGAAAAAGGACUUACAGUCAACAAGAUUCCUUGUUUGCUAACCCGUUAUUGGCUGCUACCCUUAAUCUCCGUUUGUCAACAAGAAAAAAGAGGUUAAAUAUUGUGAUCAUGCUAUCAUCAUUAUGUUGCUUAUAAGACCAAAUGUGGGGCAUCUGGUUAUCCCUCCAAAAUAAGGCAAUGACCACACGUUGAACGCGGAUCAUUCGUUCUGUCAUCGAACUUGACUCAUUCCAUCUUCUGGAUUGCUUAGGAAAGCUGAUUGGUGUUACCUGUCAUUUAGGUAAUGACCGAGAAAAGGCGGCCUACAUGAACAUAAUUUAAGCGGCCAGCAUCAUUCGACUACCCAAUCGGCUUCUACUACCCUGCCCUCAACAUAGCACGGAGUUUUACCCUUUAGAUUUUUGGCUGUUCGCGAUGUGUAAUGGCGUUUCCUUGGACGAGAUGAUGAUUUUGGCGAGAAAAAUAUUG